UACAGAGGGUGCAAGCGUUGUUCGGAAUUAUUGGGCGUAAAGGGCGCGUAGGCGGUGCGGUAAGUCUGUAGUGAAAUCUCUGGGCUCAACUCAGAGUCUGCUGCAGAAACUGCCGUGCUUGAGUGUGGGAGAGGUGAGUGGAAUUCCCGGUGUAGCGGUGAAAUGCGUAGAUAUCUGGAAGAACACCAAAGGCGAAGGCAGUGUCCUGGGUGGUCGCUGACGCUGAGAGGCGAAAGCCAGGGGAGCGAACGGG
rnacentral:rRNA from 1 species